rnacentral:rRNA from 1 species
AUUGAACGCUGGCGGCAUGCCUUACACAUGCAAGUCGAACGGUAACAGGUCAAGCUGACGAGUGGCGAACGGGUGAGUAAUAUAUCGGAACGUGCCCAGUCGUGGGGGAUAACGUAGAGAAAGCUGCGCUAAUACCGCAUACGAUCUGAGGAUGAAAGCGGGGGACUCGCAAGGGCCUCGCGCGAUUGGAGCGGCCGAUAUCAGAUUAGGUAGUUGGUGGGGUAAAAGCCAACCAAGCCGACGAUCUGUAGCUGGUCUGAGAGGACGACCAGCCACACUGGGACUGAGACACGGCCCAGACUCCUACGGGAGGCAGCAGUGGGGAAUUUUGGACAAUGGGCGCAAGCCUGAUCCAGCCAUGCCGCGUGCAGGACGAAGGCCUUCGGGUUGUAAACUGCUUUUGUACGGAACGAAACGGCUCUCUCUAAUACGGGGGGCUAAUGACGGUACCGUAAGAAUAAGCACCGGCCAACUACGUGCCAGCAGCCGCAGUAAGAC